rnacentral:rRNA from 1 species
GACGAACGCUGGCGGCGUGCUUAACACAUGCAAGUCGAACGGUAAGGCCCUUCGGGGUACACGAGUGGCGAACGGGUGAGUAACACGUGGGUGAUCUGCCCUGCACUUCGGGAUAAGCCUGGGAAACUGGGUCUAAUACCGGAUAGGACCACUGCCUGCAUGGGUGGUGGUGGAAAGCUUUUGCGGUGUGGGAUGGGCCCGCGGCCGAUCAGCUUGUUGGUGGGGUGAUGGCCUACCAAGGCGACGACGGGUAGCCGGCCUGAGAGGGUGACCGGCCACACUGGGACUGGGAUACGGCCCAGACUCCUACGGGAGGCAGCAGUGGGGAAUAUUGCACAAUGGGCGCAAUCCUGAUGCAGCGACGCCGCGUGAGGGAUGACGGCCUUCGGGUUGUAAACCUCUUUCAGCACCGACGAAGCGCAAGUGACGGUAGGUGCAGAAGAAGGACCGGCCAACUACGUGCCAGCCGCCGCCGUAA